rnacentral:rRNA from 1 species
UACAGAGGUCUCAAGCGUUGUUCGGAUUCAUUGGGCGUAAAGGGUGCGUAGGCGGUGGGGUAAGUUGGAUGUGAAAUCUUGGGGCUUAACCUCAAAAUUGCAUUCAAUACUGCUCCGCUCGAGUUCUGUAGAGGAGAUUGGAAUUUACGGUGUAGCAGUGAAAUGCGUAGAUAUCGUAAGGAACGCCAGUGGCGAAAGCGAAUCUCUGGGCAGCAACUGACGCUGAGGCACGAAGGCCAGGGGAGCAAACGGG